rnacentral:rRNA from 1 species
CUGCUGCCUUCCGUAGGAGUCUGGCCGUGUCUCAGUUCCAGUGUGGCUGGUCAUCCUCUCAGACCAGCUAGGGAUCGUCGCCUAGGUGAGCCGUUACCCCACCUACUAGCUAAUCCCAUCUGGGCACAUCCGAUGGCAAGAGGCCCGAAGGUCCCCCUCUUUGGUCUUGCGACGUUAUGCGGUAUUAGCUACCGUUUCCAGUAGUUAUCCCCCUCCAUCAGGCAGUUUCCCAGACAUUACUCACCCGUCCGCCA